AUCCUGCAAGUUGCAAAGUUCAUGUGUUGAAAUAGAACCUCUCAAUAUACCCCAGUUGUUUUAUCUAUCUACAGGUACGCAAGCUAAGAUUUGACAUUUUUGUAUGCAUGCAUGUAAGAUCAAAUUUAUUGAGCCUUUACAAAACCUCAAGGGUACUUGUACGCAAAGAACUCAAUGGGAAUUAAGUUUUCACAUAAAUAUUUGCGUAAUUUACGCAGAUUCGCAGCUUAUCUGUA